rnacentral:rRNA from 1 species
UACGGAGGAUCCAAGCGUUAUCCGGAUUUAUUGGGUUUAAAGGGUGCGUAGGCGGAAUAGUAAGUCAGUGGUGAAAGCCUGCAGCUUAACUGUAGAAUUGCCAUUGAUACUGCUAAUCUUGAGUACAUAUGAAGUGGGCGGAAUGUGUCAUGUAGCGGUGAAAUGCUUAGAUAUGACACAGAACACCGAUUGCGAAGGCAGCUCACUAAACUGUAACUGACGCUGAGGCACGAAAGCAUGGGGAGCAAACAGGAUUAGAAACCCCCGUAGUCC